UUCUCCUUUGUAGAAGGGAAAAAUUACCCAAAACCCCAAAUCUCUUGCUUUCGGAGCCCUAAGCCCCAACCCGCUCUCCUCGAAUCGCAUCUCCAAAUGGGGAAAUCUUGUCGCGAUCUCCUCCCAGAUGCUCUCUUUCCGAUCCUUUGGAUCCUCAUUGCCUUCGUUUUUCCGUCCAAAAUCUCCGGAAUCCGGAAGGACAUUGGUCUUCCAGAGAACCGUGUGUGCAGGAAUACUAUUCAAGGGCGAUACUUACUAUCAGAUGAUAAUGAGUUCAAGCUUGAAAUUAAUUUCAAAGCAAGUUUGAUCAGAUGCAAGCUCAAUGAAGCUCAGCUCAAGUACACCAGCUAUGUAUGUACUGCCCUUUCAGUUGAUUCAUUGUCUCGCUGCUGUCCUGAAAUAGGGCAGCGAUUUUCUUGUCAUGGGUGCAACCUUGUUUCACAGUGCUGCAAUUCAUAUGAGCAUUGUGUAUCGUGCUGCUUAGAUCCAUCCAGGACAAUGGAAGAUCUUGCGCUGAAAGUGAAGAUAGCCAAACCAAUUACUGCAGGCACUUAUGCUAGUGUUUUUGAUUUCUGUGCUGGAAGGUGCCGUCAUAAUUCUGCAAGUGUGGUUCAUGAGAAUGCAUAUGCAAGUGACUUUCAUCACUGCUUUUCUUUGCAGUCAAAUUUUUCAGGGAUAAUGGAACUAAGUUCUGAAGCAAGGCUGACAGGCAUUGAUAUUGUCAUUGGAAAGCAGGGGGAAUCCUGUAAUUCAGCAUGCAGGUCGAAGAAGCAAUCAUGUGUUCCAAACAGGCUUCUUGUGCUUAAUAAAUGUGAAUUUCUGCAGAGAUAUAUGAGCUGCAAGGGUGGAUGUUUUUCUAGCAUUGGAGCAGAUCAACCUGCUGAAGUUGUUGAUGAUGCACCGAAGGAUGUGAAUCCAGGGGCAUGCUUGUUUACACAAAGGGAGGCCAUGCUUACAUGCGAUGGUUCACAUCAACAUACAAGGAGACUUUGCCCGUGUGCAUGACAUGCGAUGCACUGUGACAAGGUUGAGCAUGUGAGUUUACAUGCUUGUGCAUACCAGCAAAAAAAUUUAGGAGAUAUUUUGACAACAAUUGGUCAAGCCUCGAGGUGAACAUGCUCCACGCAACGUUACUGGUGUAAAUGCCAAUCCACAUGUUUAAAUCUCUUGCAGAAAACACAGUGCUUCUUCGUUGCAUGUAACAAAAUCAUCAAGGCAAACCUCUAUUCCCACCAUGCAAUUGCCAACAUGGGAUUAAGAAGGAAGGCAGAAUUGUUUUUUUGUAUCAUAUCAUACUCACUGUAUGGAAAAUGUUGAAUGGGCACCAAUCUUAAAUACCAGUUACGUGAACAGUGUCUGGAGUGCUA